GGGUUGUGAGGUUAAGCGACUAAGCGUACACGGUGGAUGCCCUGGCAGUCAGAGGCGAUGAAGGGCGUGCUAAUCUGCGAUAAGCGCCGGUAAGGUGAUAUGAACCGUUAUAACCGGCGAUACCCGAAUGGGGAAACCCAGUGUGAUUCGUCACACUAUCAUUAACUGAAUCCAUAGGUUAAUGAGGCGAACCGGGGGAACUGAAACAUCUAAGUACCCCGAGGAAAAGAAAUCAACCGAGAUUCCCCCAGUAGCGGCGAGCGAACGGGGAGGAGCCCAGAGCCUGAAUCAGCAUGUGUGUUAGUGGAAGCGUCUGGAAAGGCGCGCGAUACAGGGUGACAGCCCCGUACACAAAAGCGCAUGUGCUGUGAGCUCGAUGAGUAGGGCGGGACACGUGGUAUCCUGUCUGAAUAUGGGGGGACCAUCCUCCAAGGCUAAAUACUCCUGACUGACCGAUAGUGAACCAGUACCGUGAGGGAAAGGCGAAAAGAACCCCGGCGAGGGGAGUGAAAAAGAACCUGAAACCGUGUACGUACAAGCAGUGGGAGCCCCACCACCAAAGCAUUCUCUGGUGUUGAAGGCCCUGCAAAGCAGCAUCGCGGUGGCGGAGCGUCGUUUGCGACGCCCAACACACAAAACAAGCGGUGAGUGCUUUGGGGUGG
rnacentral:rRNA from 3 species